GGCGCAUCCGUAGUGCAAUGGUUAGCACGAAACCUCGCAAAGGGUGAAAUGCGGGUUCGAAUCCCGUCCGACGUUCA